rnacentral:rRNA from 1 species
UACGUAGGGACCAAGCGUUGUUCGGAUUUACUGGGCGUAAAGGGCGCGUAGGCGGCGCAACAAGUCACUUGUGAAAUCUCCGGGCUUAACCCGGAGCGGUCAAGUGAUACUGUCGUGCUAGAGUGCGGAAGGGGCUACUGGAAUUCUCGGUGUAGCGGUGAAAUGCGUAGAUAUCGAGAGGAACACCUGCGGCGAAGGCGGGGUAGCUGGGCCGACACUGACGCUGAUGCGCGAAAGCCAGGGGAGCGAACGGG